rnacentral:rRNA from 1 species
GAUCAUGCUCAGGAUGAACGCUAGCUACAGGCUUAACACAUGCAAGUCGAGGGGAAACGACAUCGAAAGCUUGCUUUUGAUGGGCGUCGACCGGCGCACGUGUGAGUAACGCGUAUCCAACCUGCCCACCACUUGGGGAUAACCUUGCGAAAGUAAGACUAAUACCCAAUGAUAUCUCUAGAAGACAUCUGAAAGAGAUUAAAGAUUCAUCGGUGAUGGAUGGGGAUG